rnacentral:rRNA from 1 species
AAGCCCGUGCACGGCCUCUUUCUCGACCUAGGUCCUUAUGGGGGCGGGGGGACCCGCGUCUUGAUAAGCCCCUUCGGGGAGAAAGUCUAUGAAUGUUUUUAUUAUCAUCGACUCCCGACUUCUAGGAGACGCGAUUCUUUGAGACAAAAGUUAUUACAACUUUCAGCAAUGGAUCUCUUGGCUCUCUCAUCGAUGAAGAACGCAGCGAAUCGCGAUAUGUAAUGUGAAUUGCAGGUCUACAGUGAAUCAUCGAAUCUUUGAACGCACCUUGCGCUUAUCGGUGUUCCGAUGAGCAUGCCUGUUUGAGCGUCAUUAAAUUCUCAACCCCUCUCGAUUUGCUUCGGGAGGGUGCUUGGAUUGUGGAGGCUGCCGGAGACCUGUUUUUUCACGACUCGGGCUCCUCUGAAAUGUGUUGGCUUGCGGUCGACUUUCUACUGUGCAUGACAAGGCCUUUGGCGUGAUAGUGAUCGCCGCUCGCCGAAAUGCACGAACGAAUGGUCUCGUGCCUCUAAUCAGUCGAUGUCUUUUCGAAGGCGUCUUCCUUAUUGACGUUUGACCUCAAAUCACGUAGGACUACCCGCUGAACUUUACUAUCG